ACCGUGUACGUACAAGCAGUGGGAGCCUCUUUUAUGGGGUGACUGCGUACCUUUUGUAUAAUGGGUCAGCGACUUAUAUUCUGUAGCAAGGUUAACCGAAUAGGGGAGCCGAAGGGAAACCGAGUCUUAACCGGGCGUUAAGUUGCAGGGUAUAGACCCGAAACCCGGUGAUCUAGCCAUGGGCAGGUUGAAGGUUGGGUAACACUAACUGGAGGACCGAACCGACUAAUGUUGAAAAAUUAGCGGAUGACUUGUGGCUGGGGGUGAAAGGCCAAUCAAACCGGGAGAUAGCUGGUUCUCCCCGAAAGCUAUUUAGGUAGCGCCUCGUGAAUUCAUCUCCGGGGGUAGAGCACUGUUUCGGCAAGGGGGUCAUCCCGACUUACCAACCCGAUGCAAACUGCGAAUACCGGAGAAUGUUAUCACGGGAGACACACGGCGGGUGCUAACGUCCGUCGUGAAGAGGGAAACAACCCAGACCGCCAGCUAAGGUCCCAAAGUCAUGGUUAAGUGGGAAACGAUGUGGGAAGGCCCAGACAGCCAGGAUGUUGGCUUAGAAGCAGCCAUCAUUUAAAGAAAGCGUAAUAGCUCACUGGUCGAGUCGGCCUGCGCGGAAGAUGUAACGGGGCUAAACCAUGCACCGAAGCUGCGGCAGCGACACUGUGUGUUGUUGGGUAGGGGAGCGU
rnacentral:rRNA from 1 species